rnacentral:rRNA from 1 species
CAUUAAGUUGGGCACUCUAGAGAGACUGCCAGGGAUAACCUGGAGGAAGGUGGGGAUGACGUCAAAUCAUCAUGCCCCUUAUGCUUAGGGCUACACACGUGCUACAAUGGGUAGUACAGAGGGUUGCCAAGCCGUAAGGUGGAGCUAAUCCCUUAAAGCUACUCUCAGUUCGGAUUGUAGGCUGAAACUCGCCUACAUGAAGCUGGAGUUACUAGUAAUCGCAGAUCAGAAUGCUGCGGUGAAUGCGUUCCCGGGUCUUGUACACACCGCCCGUCACACCACGGGAGUUGGAGACGCCCGAAGCCGAUUAUCUAACCUUUUGGAAGAAGUCGUCGAAGGUGGAAUCAAUAACUGGGGUGAAGUCGUAACAAGGUAGCCGUAUCGGAAGGUGCGGCUGGAUCACCUCCUUUCUAAGGAGA